rnacentral:rRNA from 1 species
ACGAACGCUGGCGGCGUGCUUAACACAUGCAAGUCGAACGGAAAGGCCCUGCUUUUGUGGGGUGCUCGAGUGGCGAACGGGUGAGUAACACGUGAGUAACCUGCCCUUGACUUUGGGAUAACUUCAGGAAACUGGGGCUAAUACCGGAUAGGAGCUCCUGCUGCAUGGUGGGGGUUGGAAAGUUUCGGCGGUUGGGGAUGGACUCGCGGCUUAUCAGCUUGUUGGUGGGGUAGUGGCUUACCAAGGCUUUGACGGGUAGCCGGCCUGAGAGGGUGACCGGCCACAUUGGGACUGAGAUACGGCCCAGACUCCUACGGGAGGCAGCAGUGGGGAAUAUUGCACAAUGGGCGGAAGCCUGAUGCAGCAACGCCGCGUGCGGGAUGACGGCCUUCCGGUUGUAAACCGCUUUCGCCUGUGACGAAGCGUGAGUGACGGUAAUGGGUAAAGAAGCACCGGCUAACUACGUG